rnacentral:rRNA from 1 species
UACGCCGGCAACGGUGAAACUCAAAGGAAUUGACGGGGGCCCGCACAAGCGGAGGAACAUGUGGUUUAAUUCGAUGAUACGCGAGGAACCUUACCCGGGCUUAAAUUGCAACCGAAUAUGGCGGAAACGCCAUAGCUAGCAAUAGCGGUUGUGAAGGUGCUGCAUGGUUGUCGUCAGCUCGUGCCGUGAGGUGUCGGCUUAAGUGCCAUAACGAGCGCAACCCUUGCCGAUAGUUACUAACAGGUUAUGCUGAGGACUCUGUCGGGACUGCCAUCGUAAGAUGUGAGGAAGGUGGGGAUGACGUCAAAUCAGCACGGCCCUUACGUCCGGGGCUACACACGUGUUACAAUGGGGGGUACAGAGGGCUGCUACCACGCAAGUGGAUGCCAAUCCCAAAAACCUCUCUCAGUUCGGAUUGAAGUCUGCAACCCGACUUCAUGAAGCUGGAUUCGCUAGUAAUCGCGCAUCAGCCACGGCGCGGUGAAUACGUUCCCGGGCCUUGUACACACCGCCCGUCAAGCCAUGGGAGCCGGGGGUACCUGAAGUGCGUAACCGCAAGGAGCGCCCUAGGGUAAAACUGGUGACUGGGGCUAAGUCGUAACAAGGUAGCCGU